ensembl:snoRNA
UCAGCACCCAAAAACCCAAAGAUUGUGCCACACAAUGGCAUGAUCUUGCCUGGUGUGCUUACAUCAACGUGCCUUGUCGCCUUUUGAAAGCUCAUGUGCUCUUUAAAGUGAAAUCAAGGCCCAACACUU